CCCGCACGGCGGUCCACGCGGCCCCUCGCUCUCUCACUCGUGUGUUUUUCCCUUUUUUGUUUUUGUGUUUUCGUCCGCAGGGCGAGUGCCGCGACGGCCCCGCUGGGAUUUAGGGGCAGCCCUUGUCUACCUGCCCGCGGCGAGUGUCCUUCGGUGAGGAAUCGGCUGCUUCGUUCACACCACGGCGGCUUUAACCGGCCCCGAUGGUUUAAACCACGGACCAAACCACCAAGAGCCCGGACCUCCAGUCCCCUCGCUUUCUCUCCUGCAGUCUGGUUUGAUUUGGAGAAAUGUGAAACACCAUGAAAUAUGAGAGCGAGCGGCCGUAAAUUGGAAGCGGCCUCGCGCACAAAGAGGAGAAAUCUUUUCUGUGUUUGCAGGGACACAUUCACGUCUUUCUUCCCUUUCAAAGGCUCCAUCUCCAGAUUUACAUCCAUCUGAAGCUGCUUCACUCGGCUCUGUAAAGAUGAAUGUCGCCAGGCUCUGAAGGUUCUCGCAUGGUGACAGUGGUGCUCUGAGCCAAACCAAGUGUGGCGUUGACUCAUGUCUCUGACCGAAGCUGAAGGUGGGGUAGGAGACUCUGGUCCUCCGCACGUCUCUGUGUCCGUCUCCCCUCAGUUUAAUCCUUGGCUCUCUGGAGGAGCAUUAGGCCAAGCAGCUGGGGCCCCUGAACGCCUCUUGAAAAAGCCAGUCCUCUCCAACCGGGAGGGGGGAGGAGGAGACGCCCAGACCACCUGGCUCCUGAAACGUAGAACAAUCCACCAACCUACAAGUCCACACUGAGGGGAGGGGGGGACUGAUGUGACGCACCCUCUGGUGGCCACAACUCCUGGGAACUAAAACAAGCG